rnacentral:rRNA from 1 species
UACGGGGGGGGCAAGCGUUGUUCGGAAUUACUGGGCGUAAAGGGCUCGUAGGCGGCCAACUAAGUCAGACGUGAAAUCCCUCGGCUUAACCGGGGAACUGCGUCUGAUACUGGAUGGCUUGAGGUUGGGAGAGGGAUGCGGAAUUCCAGGUGUAGCGGUGAAAUGCGUAGAUAUCGGGAGGAACACCAGUGGCGAAGGCGAUCAUCUGGGGUUGUUCUGACACUGAGGAGCGAAAGCUAGGGGAGCAAACGGG